AUUGAACGCUGGCGGCAUGCCUGCCACAUGCAAGUCGAACGGCAGCAUAGGAGCUUGCGCGUGAUGGCGAGUGGCGAACGGGUGAGUAAUAUAUCGGAGCGUGCCCUAGAGUGGGGGAUAACAAGUCGAAAGAUUCGCUAAUACCGCAUCAGACCUACGGAUGAGAGGGGGGGAUCGAAAGACCUCCUGCUCCUGGAGCGGCCGAUAUCGGAUUAGCUAGUUGGUGGGGUAAAAGCCUACCAAGGCGACGAUCAGUAGCUGGUCUGAGGAGACGACCAGCCACACUGGGACUGAGACACGGCCCAGACUCCUACGGGAGGCAGCAGUGGGGAAUUUUGGACAAUGGGGGCAACCCUGAUCCAGCAAUGCCGCGUGAGUGAAGAAGGCCUUCGGAUUGUAAAGCUCUUUUGACAGGGAAGAAACGGUUCUGGAUAAUACCCAGAGCUAAUGACGGUACCUGAAGAAUAAGCACCGGCUAACUACGUGCCAGCCGCCGCCGUAA
rnacentral:rRNA from 1 species